rnacentral:rRNA from 1 species
GACGAACGCUGGCGGCGUGCUUAACACAUGCAAGUGGAGCGACGAACCAGGCUUCGGCCUGGGGCAGAGCCGCGAACGGGUGAGUAACACGUGGGUAACGUGCCCCGAUGACCGGGACAACCCGGGGAAACCCGGGCUAAUACCGGAUGUGCUGCCCUCACAUCAGUGAGGGCUGGAAAGGGAGCUUCGGCCUCCGCAUCGGGAUCGGCCCGCGGCCCAUUAGCUUGUUGGUGAGGUAACGGCUCACCAAGGCCGCGAUGGGUAGCUGGUCUGAGAGGACGAUCAGCCACACUGGGACUGAGACACGGCCCAGACUCCUACGGGAGGCAGCAGUGGGGAAUCUUGCGCAAUGCGCGAAAGCGUGACGCAGCAACGCCGCGUGGGGGAAGAAGGCCUUCGGGUUGUAAACCCCUUUCAGGAGGGACGAAGCCGGAGCGGUGAAUAGCCGUCUUCGGUGACGGUACCUCCAGAAGAAGCCCCGGCUAACUACGUGCCAGCAGCCGCAGUAAGAC